rfam:Lentzea albidocapillata strain DSM 44073 genome assembly, contig: LX89DRAFT_scaffold00015.15
GUCGGUCCGCACGGGAGCCUGGAGAACACCGGGCUGAGAGGGAGCGUGGUUCGCUCCGACCGUCGAACCUGAUCCGGGUCAUGCCGGCGCAGGGAGCGUGAAUGCCUUGAGU